AGCAAGAAGAUAAAAGUAUUAGUGGUGCUGUGAGUGAGGAAGAAACUGAGAUAAACAAAGACAUUAGCCUGCCACUUUUAGUGGAAGGUAGCCGUUAAAGGAGAGAAUCUUGUUGUACAUUAAUUGGAGAAGAUGAAGUUGCAGCAAAAAGAAUCC
rnacentral:lncRNA from 1 species